rnacentral:rRNA from 3 species
AAAUUGAAGAGUUUGAUCAUGGCUCAGAUUGAACGCUGGCGGCAGGCCUAACACAUGCAAGUCGAACGGUAACAGGAAGCAGCUUGCUGCUUCGCUGACGAGUGGCGGACGGGUGAGUAAUGUCUGGGAAACUGCCUGAUGGAGGGGGAUAACUACUGGAAACGGUGGCUAAUACCGCAUAACGUCGCAAGACCAAAGAGGGGGACCUUCGGGCCUCUUGCCAUCAGAUGUGCCCAGAUGGGAUUAGCUUGUUGGUGAGGUAACGGCUCA